ACAUAAUAGCCAUUCAAGACAGAACUAACCUCAACUCUUAGCUCUGAAUUUUGUUUGUCCAGUCUUGGGUGGAAUUAAAUGAUAAAGAACUAUGACGUUCAGAGGUUUUGGAAGAAUUUGGUUAUUGUUUGAGGGAUCGGUUUCCUUUGGGAGCAAGUUAUGAUAUGAAUUUGCUUUCCCAGCUGAAGCAAUUUAAUAGUGGUAUACACCAUUAUAAAGUUAUAAUGCUAGGAUAUGUAGACUCAUCGAACUCAAUUCCAGUUGAAACCAUCCUUCUAACCAUCUCCAACACCUCCUGCUACGUCACUCGAUUAACAUAACCAGAAAUCAUUGUGGUUUGGCGACUUUAUCUGGCUCGGGGAUUUUGUCGAGCAGCUGGUGUGCAUAUCGGAGCUCCGACGGUUUAUAGUAAGCAUCAAUCAAACAGUUACGGAUGUGGGCACAUGGUUGGAAACCGAAAGCCAUGAUAUUGGCGUGGACAGAUCACGCGAGUUACAGAUACAUACGUCGGCGCGACAAACAGAGGCUGAGAAUCUACCAAUCUAUCUCUUAUUUAUAUCAGCAAUCUUCGGUUAAAAGGAAACCAAAGAGUCUAUCACUCCGGUUUAGAAUAAACCAAAGAGUCGUUCAGUCCGGUUUAGAAAAAAAACGGACAAAAAAAUAACGUCUUGCCCACGCCAUUAAACCCUAGAGAAGUCGUUGUCUCCUUUCACAUUUUCAGUUACUUUUUUGACUGUUUGUUUCGGCGCCAUGCCUCCCAAAGACGAUAACUCCGAGGAAUCUGUUAAGCUCUUCCUCAGCACCGGUUUGGGCGAUGAGAUAUAUUCUUGUUAAUCUAAUCUCAAUUUCAAGUUAGCAACAUGAAUUUUCGCCAUUUUGUUUUGUUUUGUAUAAAAGCUAAAUUGCCUAGAAUAUAUUUGUCAAUGCUUGAAGAAACUUAUUGAUGUUAAUUUCUCCUUGCAAAUGCUCUUGUGCAUCGUCCUACAUUGCUCUAUUACAUUAUCUCCGGUUAGCAUUGUUGGGAUUUAUUAAAUCUCAUGUCUAACUCUAUAUUCUCUGAUUAGUACGAUACUGUCCACUUUGGGUCUAAGAGGCUGACCCGCAUGAAUUUACUUUUGGGCUCCUUCCCAAAAAGUCUCAUACUGUUAGAGUUGUACAUCUCUUUAUAUAUUAGAAACUCUUUGUCUAAACUUCCAAUGUGGGACUUGAAUUGACAUCUCUCAAGCAUAUGGCUCCUUGAUUAACAGUCUCUGCAGCUGAAAUGUUCUCAGUCAGAGCUGCCCUUUCUUGGCUUAGGUUCUGCUUUGUCAAUGGAAAAAAAUGGAGAAUAUUGUUUUGAUUCUCUCUGUAUAAGAGCCCUGAUCCUUAGGACUUCAAGUUUAAUGACUUUGAUGAGGCAUGUAGUACGUUGGUAGGAGCUUUUGCGUAUCCAGGCAAGUAAAACAAAAGUCACCAAUGGUUGCACAGAAGAAUGUGUUCUCCUCAUUCUUUGAAUCUGCUGCUGAUUGUUGUAUGUCGAAGUGAUGGUAGCAUGAUACAUGUGACUCGUAUUGAACAUCAUAUCAGAGAAGAAUUGAAUAAAAAGACGCCCCGCACUAUCGUGGUGCUUAAUCCUCUUAAAGUGGUCGUCACUAAUUUCUAGUCAAGGUUAUAGCUUGAUGCCAAAAGGUGGCUCGAUGCUCAGACCGAUGCCCCUCUAAAUUCUACAAAAUUUCCUAGUAAUCUACACGUAUAUGGAACAUUACUCUUUUCAACAGUACUAUUUACUACUUUGGUUUUUGAAUAUGUGAUUCACCUGUGACUUAAUUAUAAUGUCCGUCUACCCACGGCUAAUGUUACCACCCACGUCCGGUCACUCAGCUCGUGAGCCCCAUCCCAUCUGAUGGGCGGUGCAUUAAAUUUUUGAAAGCUCGAAAGUCUUGUUUACGACCAUGCAAUCACCACAUGAUCUUUUCUUAUACUUUGGUCUCACUCAUACGGUAUUGCGAAUCAAUUUUCGAUAGGUCCACCCAUCUUUCCACUACUCUAAAAAGAUGUGUGACGAAAAAUGUAAGUAUACUUUGGUGACAUAGGUAAUCAAAUCAAUUCUUUUAAAUCUUUCCACAAACCGGAAUGUUACAUUAAUGUGCUUCCUUCCGUUUGAAGAUACGGUUUCCCAAUCAAGUGCACCAACGUUGCCUUUGAUGUUGACAAUGAAACCAUUAGUGAGAUUCAUGCAGCGUAUGACCUGAGAAAGUGACAAAGCCAAAGUUUCUUUCUUUAAUUAUCACUACAAUUUCUGCAAUUCCAAUGUCUCUUAUUUAUCGGUCCUAGGUUGCUGAAUCUUCCCCAGGAAAAGAGCCCAUAAAGGUCGAAGUCCACCCAAGACCUACCCAUAACAAAGUUGAUAGAGUAAGCAAUUGCUCAAGGCCCAAACAUUAUGUGAGAUUUUAACUUAGAAAAAAGAAAAUCCUGAAUAUAUUUUAAUCUGGUUUGAAUUACAAUAGAAAAUGGAUACAUUUUCCAAAUUAGUAUGGCCUUUGAUAAAUUUCCAAAUUUUCUAAAAAUGGAUACAUAUUUUUAACCACAUUAACACUUUGUUGGUCAAAACUUUUUAAAACAGUAAAUGAAAACUUUGUUUGAUACGCACGUUGUGCAAGAGUUAAAUAUAGUUUCUCGAGCUUGUUUCUAAAUUGUAAGUGAGUGGUAAGAAAAUGUUGUUUAGUUGUCAUCUUUCCAAAGAAGACAAGAAAGGUUUUUAUAUAUCUUCAGAUAAAAGAUGUUUAUAUUACUGGCGCAAAAAAUUGCCGAAAGCUCUUCUGCCAGAUAGAGCAAAGAGAGUGAAAGUUUAAUAUCUAUAGGCAUGUGAUUUUUGAUUUACUGAAAAUCCAAAAUGCACUGCUUUAAUGGGAUUGUGAUAGCCACUGAUAGGUUUUAACAUGAGAUCUUCGCAUCAUUCAAUUUUGUUAUCCUCUUCACCACACUAAAAGCUUUACUGUUGGUUCUGAGUUCAUGUGGACGUACAAUCUUACCUGCAUGUGAAUAUUUACACAAGGAAUCAAAAAGUUGUAAAGUAAGAAGAUCGAAUAUUUAGGAUUAAGGAAUAAGGUGCUUUUACGAUAAGGACAACUUCAGGAUAUGAGUAUAUGAUGUAAAGUUGAUUAGAAUGCGCCAUCAUCUUUUCUUUUUGGUAUAUCACAAAAGAUAUUUUUCUUUUGAUUAAAGCUAUGUCACCAAUGUUUCGGAUAUAUAUUUGUAUUGCGAAAAAUGAGUAGGAAAAACGGCUAGUUCUAGCAUUUAAACCAGCUAUAUUCUAAAUUAAACUAGUCUGAAACUUACAUAAACUAGCUAAAUCGCAUAAACGUACACGAUAAUUUACUUGAUUUAGUAAACUGAUUUUAUUGGUUAAAUAAUUUGGGAAAAUCUAAGAGAAAUUUUUAGGUUCACCCAGUGCCAUCUUAAAAAUUUUAAAAGCCUUAGGCAAAAGAUUAAAUAUAGGCCUUUUCAUAACAUUUUUUUUUGUUGUAGUUCCUUAAUUUAAACCAACAAAUUUUUUUUAUCGGAAAAAUUAUAUAAUAGUCAAACACACAUAAUUAUUUUGGGCCUUUUUGUUAUUUACAAAUUAUUUGUAAUUAGUUAUGAACUCUUUAUUAUAAUUUUAUUAAAUAUUUAAUCAUUUAGCAAUUUGAAAUGGAUCCUUAAAAUUAAUAAAAUAGCACUAAAAAUUUCUCUGGACCCAUAGACCCGGUCUUGGGUUCACCCAACCAAUACGAUUUAGUUAUUUUAAAUUCAAUAUCUUUUAAAAAAAGAAACCAAAUAAUAAAAAUUUGUGAAAUUAUAUUGUUUAAAAAAAAAUUUAUAGUAAUUAUCAUAAAAAGAUUUUUUAAUAUUGUUAAACCUGUUAGUAAAAUAUUAAACCCUAAACUUUAAAUCCUAAACACUAAACCCUAAAUCAUUGGAUAAACCCUGAAUCUUUGGGCAAAUCCUAGAUCCCUAAUCCAAAACUCUAAACCAAACCCUAAACUCUUAAUCCUAAACUCUAAUACUAAAUCCUAAACCAUAAAUUCUAAACACUAAACUUUAAACCAUACCAUGAACUCUUGGAAAAAUCCUAAACCCUAGACCCUUAAUCCUAAACCCUAAACCCUUAAUCCUAAAUCCUAAACCUUUAUCCUUCACAAUAAUAAGGGUUUAGGAUUUAAGAUUAAGGGUUUAGAAUUUGGUUUAAGACUUAUAGUAUAAGGUUUAGGAUCUGCCCAAUGAUUUAGGAUUUAUCCAAGGGUUUAGUGUUUAAAGUUUAGUAUUUUGCUAACUAGUUUAAUAAUAUUUAAAAAAAAAAUUGAUAAUUACUAUUAUUUUUUUAUUUACAAAACAUAAUAUAAUUUCACAAAUUUUUAUUAUUUGUUUUUUUUAAAAGGUAUUAAAUCUAAAAUAACUAAAUCUUAUUGGUUGGAUGAACCUGUAAAUUCACCUAGGGGUGAAUCUCUAAAUUCACCUAGAGGGUGAACCUAAGAAUUUCUCGAACAAAUUUGUUCCUCACUAAAAUUGAUAAAGAAUAAUUUUUUCUUUCACUCCUAUAAUUUUAUUUCUCUGUAUUUUUUUUCUGUUCAUUCAUAAUGUUCCGGUAAUGGUCAGCAAUUAGAUUCUAACUGGUUUAACUUAGGUGUAUAAAAAAAAAGAAUAAAUAAUGUAUAAACGAAAAGUAUGAACAUUAUCCAAUAACACGGGUCUAUAAAUUCUCCCACAACCACUAAAUUCACUCUCACUUCUAUCAAACGCCUCUUGGUCCUUUGGUCUUUUUAUUCAUCACCAUCUCUCUCUUAGUCUCUUCUUCUCAUUUCUCUCGCUCUCUCUUAUACAUACACACAAACAAAGCUAAUGGACUGAAAUAUAUAAUAAUAAAAAGGAACAAAUAAUGUCAAAUAUAAUGAAGAAGAGGUGUAAUGAAAAUGAAGAGAGCGCAGAGCAGAGAAAAGGGCCUUGGACGCUUGAGGAAGACACUCUUCUCACUAAUUACAUUGCCCAUAACGGUGAAGGCCGAUGGAAUCUGCUCGCCAAAUCUUCUGGGCUAAAGAGAAAAGGAAAAAGUUGCAGAUUACGAUGGUUGAAUUACCUUAAACCCGACAUAAAGCGGGGGAAUCUCACUCCUCAAGAACAACUCUUAAUCCUCGAACUUCACUGUAAAUGGGGUAAUAGGUGGUCAAAAAUUGCGCAGUAUUUACCGGGAAGAACGGACAACGAGAUCAAAAACUAUUGGAGGACUAGAGUGCAGAAACAAGCACGCCAGCUCAAUAUUGAUUCCAGCAGCCACCAGUUCUUGGAAGUUGUCCGUAGUUUCUGGGUUCCAAGAUUGAUCCACAAGAUGAAAGAUUACUCAAACACCAACAGUAAAGCUCCUCCUACGGAUUCACUUGGACCCGUCGUACAAGACAAUAAUUUCUCACAUAAUUCGGGUUUAAACAACAUAGAUUGUUCCACUUCCAUGUCUCAAGAUCUGGCGAAAAUUUCACAGUUAAUGGAUUUGUCUGAUCUUGAAACCACUAAUUCAAUGUGCUUGGAAGGAUCACGAGGGAGUAGUAAUCAAUAUGUGAACGAAGAUCAUAGGUGCUUAGAGGAGGAGUACAUAGUGACCACCAUGGGUAAUUCAGACAUUUUACCAUUGCAGGAUUGUCAUGUAGCAUAUUCGACUUACGAGGAGGAUGUAACACAAGAUCCAAUGUGGAACAUGGAUGAUAUUUGGCAGUUUGAGGAGUACGCACCUUUUAAUUAGGUUGUGGAACCCAUUGAAAUGGAUGUUCUUACAACCUCCAAGGAGUUUCUAAGUAUUGUAUCAUCUUUUUUGGCUUGUUGUAGUUUAUAGUUAAAUCUUGAUUAAUUGAUAUAAAGUUCAAAGAAGGUUAAUAAAAAACUGUUACGUAACAUUAAUUUUCUAUAGUGUUUUACGUAUGUAGAAGAAUUAGUUCGAGUAAUCUAAAUCUUGACUAAUCAGGAGGAGGUGACAACUGAUAGAAUAGACUAGUGCGCGUCUUUGAAUAUCAAACCGUUGUCAUUUUCGUUAGUUUAGAUCUUCUAAAAAAAAACAAAUCUAAUCUCACCUCCACAUGUGUAAUAAUCCAUAAUCAACGAUUUAUAUACACGAUCUAAAUCAAAGAAAAUGACGCUGAGAUAGUGAAAGUUCUAGAAAAUAAUUGAUGAAUUGUUUCUUCGAAAUUAGACGUGUGCGUGGUAUAUAAGUCGACGGGAUGUCUCUACAUUUGGCAUACGAAUCUUCUUCAAGAUAGUUUCUAACUCAACGUCUUCCUCAAGAAACAUAUGAAUCUACGAAAACAUAUAUAACAUAUUUAAAAUAUUUUGGCGCGGCCCAUAAAUAGAGGAACCAAGUAAUUGUUACAAUAUAGAUUCGCACCAUAUAAAUUCGCAACUUAAUUAAUCAUUACUUAUAUUUUUCUCUUAAUCUUAUGCCUCGACCAAAAACUAUAGACCUUCUGUAAUACAUACAUGUUGUUUAGUUUUAAUGUACAACAAAUAUGGGAAUAUGAUACACGUCCAUUGAAUUUAGCCAUUUGGCAUAAUUCCGCUUAAGAGGGACUUGUUCUGUCUCCACUUAAGAUACACAUCAUAUAUAUAGUCCCUCAAGAAGUCAAGAGCUUGAACUUAGUGGAAAAAGUUGGUUCUUAUUUUCAGUAAUGAAGUGUAUACUCUUGAAUUACUUGGGGGCGGGGUAAUUAUUAGUUCGUCUUCAUUACUUCCAAAUGAAAAGUUAUAAAAGACGUUCAUAUUUUUUGGAGGUCAGUUCAUGGAAACUUUAGAAUGAUUUGGACUCAAAAGGCAUUAUAAAGUUGCAAUAAACUUAUAAAUCGUUUUUUCGAGGUCAGGAAGGCAAGAGUACGUACAUUUAUUUCAUUACUUUUGACAGAGAUGAAAGGUUCUGCAUGCUUUGUCUCCUUCUCACCUCCAAUAAUUCAAGUUUUGUAUGGAUCAUAUUUCUAUAAGAUAAAUAGAAAACAAAAGUUUAUAUAAAUGUAUAUAUGUGUGUCUUGUUACAUUAUGCAAACUGUCUUGACCAGUAUGAAUGGACUUAUACGCGCCGCUCCAAGCCAUAUUUUAUAGGUCAGGUUUUCACUUAUCAAUUUUUCAUUUUUUGGAUAUAUUGUUGUAAACAUCACUCGGAACCAUUCAUAUACAUGGAGCAGUGGGUGCGUUUUGUAACUAUAUAUUACAAUUUUUAAUAUAUUAACUAUUAUAUCCCGGACCUACGAAAAUGCUCAGACUAAUUCCAAUGAAAAAUACAGUCUACGGAUAGAAUCUAUCCGAAUAAUAAAACAAAAUUCAAAUAUGAUAUCAUACAUGCAUGGCCAUACACAUUUAUUGUCGUGAAUUGUUUCAAAUCCGGAUCAUACAACUUCUCAAAACCUAUAUCCACUAGACAUCUAUUGUUAUUUUAUUUUCAUGUAAAUAUAUGGAAUGUAUGAAAUCCGUAUGAACGGACCUCUCCAGAAGGUAAUUUUAAUGUGGCCGAUUUCCAAAUGAAAGUUACAUUUAUAAUUUCAUUUCUCAUGAAAAAUAGCAGAAUAUAUGAAAUAUUUCUUAUAAAGGGAAAAGCAAGACGAAACACUUUCACAUGAGGGUUUCUUUACAUUCACUAAACACAAGGAUGUAAAGGAGGAACGUCUACUGAAACCAGAUCUCAUAUUCGCAUAGUAUAAAACAGCUACAAAAUUACAACUAGUUUUAUUUCUGUCUUCUACUAACUUGGCAAAACGACUUGACUAUAAACACUUCUACACAAACUUCUUUUUCUUUAUGACUUAUCUUCCAUAGAAGUACCAGUAGUAUAAGAAAAUAGAAAAAACGUGUUAUAAAAACGUAUCUAGAUACUUAGAUAGCCAUCGUUAAAUUUGUCAUCAUUCUCUCCCUUAUAUCACCAUCGUCACCCAAUUUAGUCUACUACAAAAUCAUGAUCGUGUAUUCCGGGAAAUUCAACAAAAAUUAAAAAUUAGAGAAACAUCGGCCUAUAAACUGUUAGAUGGUCAAAGUUGUUCAAGCAGAUGAUGUUGUUAUUAUAGAGUCGUAUGUUUUUGUUGGAAUAGUAAUCAGUCAAACUUAGUGACCAACGAAAAAUGUUGUGACUUGUCAUUAUCAACAUAAGAAUUACCUUAAUUAGUAAAUUCUACGCUGUACGUAGUUCAUGCAAUGCAACAGUGAUUUUUUGGCAUCGAUUCACUCAACGAAACCUCGAGUAUAACCAUAACCACGGAACAUUAGACUUUCAUAUCGUGUAGCUAUAAUUUUGACAUAUUCGGACAACACAUGAUUGUUACUAUAUACAUUCAUAAAAUUUCAUAUUUCCAUAUAUUAACAUAUAAAGUUAUAUAUAUUCCAUAAAUUGAUAUAUAAAAUGAAUUUAUUGUUAAGUAGGACUUUUAUAUAAGUCGGUCCCACUGAAAUAUUUCGUGACCAUAUGAUAAAGCCGACUCUGAAAAUUCGGUGACGUAGUUAGAUUUUGAGAAAUUCUUAGGUUCUAGGUUCACCCAAUUAAUAGGAUUUAGUAUUUUAGAUUCAAUACCUUUUUAAAAAGAAAUCAAAUAAUAAAAAUUUGUGAAAUUAUAUUAUGUUUAAAAAAAAAAAAGUAAUUAUCAAUUUUUUUAAAAUAUUAUUAAACUAGUUAGCAAAAUACUAAACUUUAAACCAUAAACCAUUGGAUAAAUCCUAAAUCAUUAGGCAGAUCCUAAACCCUAAACCAUAAAUCUUAAAUCCUAAACCAAAUUCUAAACCCUUAAUCUUAAACCCUAAACCCUUAGGAUUUAGGAUUAAGGGUUUAUGAUUUAGGAUUAAGGGUUUAGGGUUUAGGAUUAAGGGUCUAGGGUUUAGGAUUUUCCCAAGAGUUCAUGGUAUGGUUUAAAGUUUAGUGUUUAGAAUUUAGGGUUUAGUAUCAAGGGUUUCAGGUUUAGGGUUUGGUUUAGAGUUUAGGAUUAGGGAUCUAGGAUUUGCCCAAAAAUUCAGGGUUUAUCCAAUGAUUUAGGGUUUAGUAUUUAGGAUUUAAAGUUUCGGGUUUAAUAUUUUACUAACAGGUUUAACAAUAUUAAAAAUCUUUUUAUGGCAAUUACUAUUAAUUUUUUUAUUUAAAAAACAUAAUAUAUUUUCACAAAUUUCUAUUAUUUGGUUUCUUUUUUUAAAAGAUAUUGAAUCUAAAAUAAAUAAAUCCUAUUGGUUGGGUGAACCCAGGCCCGGCUGUCGCGGCGGUUGCCCUGGGUCCAUGGGUCCAGAGAAAUUUUUAGUGCUAUUUUAUUAAUUUUAAGGGUCCAUUUCAAAUUCUUAAAUGAUUAAAUAUUUAAUAAAAUUAUAAUAAAGAGUUCAUAAUUAACUACAAAUAAUUUGUAUAUAGCAAAAAGGCCCAAAAAAAUUCUGUGUGUUUCACUUUUAUAUAAUUUUUCCGAUAAAAAAAAUUGUUGGUUUAAAUUAAGGAACUACAACAAAAAAAAAUGUUAUUAAAAGGCCUACAUUUAAUAUUUUUCGUAAGACUUUUAUAAUUUUUAAGACGACACUGGGUGAACCUCUACGUUCAUCUAGGAGGUGAACCUAAGAAUUUCUCAAUUUGUUCUAUAUCUUCUAGAAUAAAAAGAAUGAAAAUAAAUGAAAAAGAGAAACUAUUAAUCCUCUUUAGAUUUUUGAAAACAAAGGCACAUCUAUUGUAAGAACGUUUUUUUACUGAAAUUAAUUUUACAUUCUUUCAAAAAAAAGAGUAGAAAAUAAUUUUUUUUAGAAAUAGUAAAGAAUGCAUUAUUCCUUUCAUUAUUUGUCACUAGUUAGACCCAUAGAUUAUUCAACCAGUAGAUAACUUAAGUUUUGGCGCAUUUGAAAAUGUCUUUUCUGUGUUUUCCAUUAUAAUAAUUUGUUUCACAUAUUUCUCUGUAUCAUAAAUCUUAAUUGUCAAGACUCAAGGCAGGGACAAUUACAUGUGUGUAGUCUGCAAAUUUAGCCUUGAAUUUUCUUUGGAUCUCUCCCAUGUUCUGAAGAGGCUCUGAUACCAAAUAUUGUUGUAACAAAAGUGUUUAGAACUCAAAGAUCAAUAAGAAUAAAACUAUCUUAAAGCUUAAACUCUCACAAGAUCUCUAAAACUGAUAGGUUAUGCCACAAUAUAGCAUCUCUUUAUAUAGAGAUAUAAAAUUCGUAAACUCAUUAGUAAUACCUAUUUCCUAAACAUAACUCGAAUAGGAUAAGUAUAACUUGUUUCAAACUUCAAGUUUACAUCCAACAUAUGUUACAUCAUUAGAUGGUAAAAUAGCAUAUAUAUAUAUAUAAUGAUAUAAUUACUAUACUUUCAUAUCAGUAUUCAUCUCCUUUUUCUAUAGGAAUAUUAAGAGAAAGAGAACAAUGUACAUUUUAAUACUGAUACUAAAUCUUGAAAAUAGUUCUAAAUAAGUUUUUGAUGCUUUUUUGCUUAUUAAUUUUGGUAAAUAAAUCCAAAUUCGUGAGCAUAAAUAAUAGAGUGUAGAAUAUUUUGAAGAAAGGUAAAUCCCUAGCUUUUAAGAAACCAAACUUUUUACAAAAUAAAAACUUUCCACUAUGGUGUUGUUCCAAUGAAAAUAUUUAGGAAAUUUAUUUGAAAAGGCUACUGUUAUUUUUUUUGUGAAUACAAAUAAUGUUUCACGUUUAAAUUUUAGAUAAAUAAUAUUUAGUAUAUAAUAAAAUAUCUAAUUCUGAUUAGUACGUGGUUUUUAGGAAAGAAUGUAAAACAAAAUCUAUAUAGCUAUGCCUUUUGGUCCAAAGUGGACAAAGACUCUGGCUAAAGAAUUUGUGGUAGUUGGUUUAGACGAAUAGUGCUAAUUAUAUAAUAGGAUGUCCAAUUUUAAUUAAAGAGUUGAAUAUGGAUUUGACAAAACCCAUCAGGAUCCAAAUCGAGUACAUACCAGAUUUAGUAAUGGAUGGUUUAGACUUAUGGUUCAACCACAAACAUUAUAAAAAACUGGCCCAGGUGAGUCCGGAUCGUAGAGAAACUAUAGAACAAAUACACGGAACUUGAUGGUUAUAUGAAAAAAAAGUUAUGACUUUAGCAACUAUCAAAGCAAUAACGAACUAAAGAACAAGGUUGGCGGCAUAAAAGAAGGUACAUGCUUUGCAACUUGACGAGGGUUUCGCCCAUGUAAAAUCAAUCAAAUCUUGGCACCGGAACUCUAUGCGUAGUCACCAUCUUGGAUUAAGAUAGUCUAAAGGAACACGUGUAAUUUUUGGAACUGUUCCUUCUAAAAUUCUGGAUAAUUCGUUUUUUUUUCUUUGAGCAAAGGAUAAUUCGUUUAACAAGUUUUUAAAAAGGUAAAUAACUCAAUAAUACAGCCUCACUUUCAAGAUAAGUUUAGUGGGGCAGAGCAAAAGUGAAAAGAUAGAGAAACACAUGGAACGAAGAAAGGAACAAUAAGGGGGUGUAGAAACACAUUUAUGAUUUCAAACUUAGAAAGCUACUAAUGGUGAUUAACCUAUAAGUUGAAGAUCAUAUUAUCAACAACAACAAAAAAUUCUUAUUUUAUUGUGAAUUUAGUAAAGAACUUCAGAGAUUAAAAUUACAAAGCUAUCUGAUUUUUUUUGCUGUGCACGCUACUUUAUUGCUAAUUAGUGGUUUUCCGGUGCUACGCGCCGGUUUUUCUAAUAUUAAUAUUCUUUUGUUAGUUUUGCAAUUUAGAACAUUUUAAAUGUUAUUUUAGAAUAAAAAAAUGUAUCAAUGAUAUAGAAAUCUAUUAAUUUGAUAGUAAUCUCUACAUAGUUGAUUUUGAGGUUAUUUAUAAUAUAUGUAUAACACUUUAAGUUUGAACAUAUGCAUGACAAUUUGAAAGUGUAAUAGCUAAAUUGUUUAUUAUUUGAUUGGCAAUUAUUAAUUUUUAAUUACGAUAUAAGAUUAAUUUUAAAAUGUGGAAUUUAUACAAUAAUUAUGGAAAACUUAAUGUUUAUACAUAGUACAUAUUUAUUUAUUAUGCUGUGAAUAUAUAUAUAUAUAAUACAUAUAUAUAUAUUUAUUAUGUUGUGAAAUUGUUACCUUUUGCGCAUAGUAUAUAUGAACAAUUGGAUAUGAAAAUAUUACCUUUGGCACAUAGUUUAUAAUCUUCAUUAAAAUUGUUAAUUUAGUUAUUAAGAUAAUAGUACACAUUUAUACUGGAUAUUUUAGUAAUCUCGUCUCACUUAUAAAUAAAGGUUUUUCCAAAAAGCUAAAUAAUAGUGCAGUUUCUAAUAUAUAGACUUGUAAAGUAUUUUUACAAACUUUCUAUUAAAAUAAAGAGAUAAAUAAAUAUUUAUUAUUUGGUUUUCCUCGUGAUUUUGGUCACCUCUACUUGUAUUAGUAACAAACAUCACAUGCCUAAUUUCAGCAAUGGUUUUUGUUUUAAAGAUUGGAACUUUAUAUUGCCCUAUUUAGUACUUCAUCAAAAUCAAAUAUAACACCACCUUAAGAAAAUUUAAGCACAGCCGAAUACUCGUCGCACUUUUCUUAAAGAUUAUAAAAAAUAGAGGAAUAAGUAUCUCUCGUGAAGACUUAACAACCAACAAACGUUUUGUGAAAGUUAUUUCUCAUAAAUGGAAGAACCAACCAUAGAGAAGCAGAAAUGAGUGACUGAGUACUAUCCGAAUUGUGUCAUAUCGAAAGGGAUUAAAAGAAGCGUUUCUCCUUUCGGUUGUGUCAAGUGUCCACAUCAGAUUCAUAAGAAAUUGCAUAUCUUACUUCCUCUUUGUCAUGCUCUCUAAGACGCGCAUGCUAGAUUUUGGAACUAAAGAUCAAAAUCAUGAAAGAAGACCGUAAAUACAAAUUAAGAGAGUCGAAAGCACUACGGUACUGUGCUAUAUUUUUAGAGGGGAGGCUGGUAGUGAGAAGUGGAGAUGCGUUCGGAGGCUUGUUGUUGUUGUUUAGUGGUAUGGUCAUAGGAGAGCGGCGGCGCGUAAAUAAGACAUCAACAAAGGAGGUCGCUUCUGGUAGGCUGAGAAAAGGACGAAGGAUUUUAUUUUUUUGCUAGCAUAUUUAUAAUUGAACAAUCCUGAAGAAAGACAGACACAUACCACUUUAAUGUUGGUUGUGUUCAACUAAUCUAAUCAUAUUUAAGAUGAAAAACAAAUUGAUAGCAGAGUACGCUUCGAACAUAGAGAAUUAAAAGAGUUAAUAGAACGACAGAAAAAAUUAUACAAAAGUACAAAAGCAAACCUUUGAGAGAUAAGGCUUAUCUUCAUCAUCAAAGGCAUUGGGUAGCACCCAAUUCUCUAUCCUCCCGAGAUAAGGCCUGAUCAUCUUCCACUAUGGAUGAAGUUAAUGGUCCCGUGGAUGAGUGUAGACUGCAACGCAUUAAGAACGAACCAAACAUUUAGACAUCGAAGUUUGUGAAAUACGUAAUUGACAGAAAUAAGAAACAUAAAGUUGUCGAAGUUACCUGUUCAUCGAGAAGAAGCAUGUCAAAACUCAUAAGUUCUCCACCUUUCCCGAGCUUCCUAGAACCUCAGAAGAUGCACCUCCACUGUGUUUGAGCAACGGACUGCUCUCAAGUUAGCGAAAAGAACAUAGGAAGAUAACAUAUUUGAAGGAGAUGCGUCGGAUUGUUUAAGCUAUAAGAUAUCUCACUGGUGUAGAUCUUCAUCGCUCUUAUUUAUAGGUCGACCUUGGAUCUGUUACAUAGGCUGCUCGUUAAUGGGAAUAAAUGAGACGGAGUGGAGCUUAAUUAUUGUAUUAAAGCUUGAGUUUAAGGAAAGAGAAGACGUUAUAUGAAACGUAGUCGGAGACGAUGGAAGGACACGGCGUCGAACUGAAGAAGAGGGCAUACCAAACCUAAACAUAAAACAUGCCAAAAAUAUCAAAUUAUUGAUGGUCCAAUGAAUUAACAGAAAGCCCAUCGAUUAUUCUGCGAAUUAGAAGCAAUAAAAAAAGAAGCUCUCUUUUUACUCGACACGUGGCGCAAUAUAGGGAUAUGAGAGAUGAGGUGGCGGCCCGUGGAGAGUUUCUCUUCAAAUUUAUUAUUACAGAUAUUAAUACUAUAACAUAAUGAUAAGGAUUAUCUCUAAUCCUAAGUCAAAGUAGCAAUUAAGAGUCAAUCCAAUCCUACACUAUUUCGAUUCAAAGAGAAAACAGAUUAAUGCUUAAUCUAAGUGCAAUCAAGGUUGUGUAAUGAUAUGAUUCGAGUAACAAGACACUAAUCAAUAAAGUGAUAAAAUUUCAAUCAAUAGGAUAAAGUAGAACUCAUAGGUCUAGGAAUUUGACUUCAAAUGACUAAGAUCCAAUCUAGAAUGACAAGGUAUCAAUCAACCUAUUUCUGUAAGUCUAAACAACGAUCCUAAACAAGUUAUUUGUCAAGAUAAAUGCUCAUUUACUUUCAUUGAUCAAACAUCAAAUGUCUUUGGUUUGUGUCAUUCAAGCAAUCAUUAAGAACAUGUCCAUUAACUAUCUAAGAUUUCCUAACAUCAAAUGUCUUUGGUUAAACAAGCAAAGAGCAAAGUUGAGUUAGCUCAGACAUUUCAUCAAACACCUUCCGGGUUUGAAAUGGCUAGAGUUCUAGCUUAGAAAAGCUAACAAUUAAUAAACUAGCAUUAAGAACACUCAACAAGCAAAGAAAUAGAUUAAUCUAACUCUAAACACUCUAGAUCUUCAUUUAAGCACUAAUCAUCUUAACCCAUGAAUCCAAAAGGUAACUACUCACUAAUAGUCAUGAUAAACCCAAUAAUCAAUGAUGAUUUGAGGUUAAUCAUGAUUAGUGAUCAAGAUAAUCAAGCAAACACAAGAUAUCAAGAUGAAAAGAAGCUAAAGAUUGAAUCUUUCACCAAAAUAAGUUUGUGUUUAGGUAGAAAACAAGAUAAUUUCAUUCUUUAGAUCUACAACAUAUUUAUACUAAGCUAGAAUUCGAACCGGGUCAACCCAACAACCUUGGGUUAACCCAACAAAAAGAUGGAUCAAAGCUGUUUAGUGUCACGGCCGCAACAAUCGUCAUGCCACGACCAGAGCUUGCAAAACACAUGCAUAGGCUGCGGCCAUCAUUUCCUGCGGUGAGAGCCUGCGAAGCACCCUGCCAGUUUUCUUCGACACACGGCCACCACGGUCACCUUGUUCCCGCGAAGGAUAGUUGUGGUGAGGGUCCAGUUUUGCCGACAUCAUCGCUGCAUCCAUCCUCUUCUCGCGAAAGGUGACUGCGACAACACUCCUUCUUCACAGCCAUGACUUGGUCGCUGUUGUCCACUGCUACCACGUCAUUCUACAUCAUCUUGAACGUUUUAUGACCUUUUUAAGCUCCAAAACCUGAUUAAUACUUCUCCAAACCAGAAAACAUACAAAUGUAAUGCAAUGCAAUCUAAACAAACUCUAAAUGCAUCUAAAUGAUCAAUAUAUGAAUUAGAAUGAUGCUUAGAACAUGUAAAUACACAAGAUAUCACAGAAUAGCACAAUAACACACCUUAAAAAUGACAACACUGAUUUUGAUAUUGAUUUUCUGUUUACUCUAACUCUGCUUCCUUCAGUUAUGUUCGAACCACUUCUCAAUAGUCCAAGAACUCAGUAAACAGUCCCAGUUCGAUUUAAUAUUUAACAAUUUUUGAAAGAAAACUCAUCGGAGUAACAUACUGCUAGUACCAUGUACGUGAAUGUAACUAAAAAAUAGAGUAAUUAAGAAGCCUUACAAAAUGCAAUGUUGAAGGAGUUGGAGUGAAUGUAACUCACAUGGAUCUCGUAGUUCUCGUCAGCUUGUACAUCGGCCUAAUCUUAUCUUUGAUCCUAUAAGGCUAUACUUUAAGUUCCUCAUGGAUCCUAUAACUAGAGCUGCAUCAGUUAACAAAUACAUUUACUAUCCAUGACGAAAAUAAAUAGGUUAACAAGUACAUAUAAAUAUGUUUUCUUUAAAGAAGAGUUUCUAUCAUAUUUACAAAAUUGUAGUCAAUGUGAAUGUAUUUGAGUGAAACAAGAAAAUAUGUGUAGGCUACGUGUGGAUGUCUCUAAGGAUUAGAAAGUCAUCAUAUAUCAUAGUUAAACGAUUUGGUGACUUGAGAAUAUGCACACAUAAAUAGAUGACAAUUCAUUUGAAGUUUGAUUGUUAUUCUGCAUGUUCUUCUCCACGCAAGGGGUCUUUCAUCGCUUAGUUGCUUUUAGUAACUAUUAGAUUCAAUGUUUCCAAAUAACUAAUCGGUUUUUUGGGUAAUCAGCUACCAUGCGGCAUGAUGCAGGCGGAUCAAGCAAAACCUUGACUGAGAAUCUGAGAUGUUAAUGACAACUAUGUUGAAUGUACCGGCUGGACUAAUUACUGCAUCAGUGUGUGUUCUGUUUGUAUUCUUACAUCGUAAGGAUGAUCACAGUUGUCUCGGAAAAAUAGAUGGUAAGACCAAAAGUGAAAGACUGUGGUACAUGGAGGAGCGUGAGGCUGUGAGAAGGAUAUAUAGGGGAAAACAUUUAGGCAAUGCGGAGAAUGUGCCGUUAGUUUUUUUAAUUUCAUUAGCACAAUUUGUUUCUAAACUUCUUAAUAUAAUAAGUAUUUUAUCUAUUUGAAAUAAAACUAUUUUAUAAAACAUACCAUUUCAUCCAAGUGAUGGUAAUCUGGUGUAAUGCAAUUGGAGCAUAUAUAAACUUGUUGGUUCUCAGUUCGAAUCCAGACAUGAACUAAAUUAUUAUCGGCUGGUCAUAUCAGUCUCAGUUAAAAAUCUAGGGUCGAAGUAUUUAUCACUAUUGUGAUUAGUUGUACCUCGACCAAAACAUCUUCUAUAGGGCUGGGCCUGGAUGCAAGCCCAUCAAGCAUUUGUUUGAGGGCAGAUAAGUUUAAAAAAGUUUUGGGAGCGAAAUUCUAAAAUGAUUAAGUAGCAUAGUUGGUGUGGUGGCUGCUAUUUGAAUACCGCUGUUAAGCGUCUGGGUUCAAGAGCCGGUUAAUGCUGUUUUUUUUACCAUUAUUUUAAAACGAAAAUAAAAAAAACGUAAAAAAAGGAAAUAUAGGAACAACAAAAUAAAAAG